rnacentral:rRNA from 1 species
AGAGUUUGAUCCUGGCUCAGGAUGAACGCUGGCGGCGUGCCUAACACAUGCAAGUCGAACGAAGCGCCUGCGGCGGACCCCUCCGGGGGAAAGCCGCGGGGGACUGAGUGGCGGACGGGUGAGCAACGCGUGGGCAACCUGCCCCGUACCGGGGGACAACAGCCGGAAACGGCUGCUAAUACCGCAUAUUCCCGCGGGGCCGCAUGGCCCUGCGGGGAAAGCUCCGGCAGUACGGGAUGGGCCCGCGUCUGAUUAGCUUGUUGGCGGGGUAACGGCCCACCAAGGCUGCGAUCAGUAGCCGGCCUGAGAGGGCGGCCGGCCACAUUGGGACUGAGACACGGCCCAGACUCCUGCGGGAGGCAGCAGUGGGGGAUAUUGCACAAUGGGGGGAACCCUGAUGCAGCGACGCCGCGUGAACGAAGAAAUAUUUCGGUAUGUAAAGUUCUAUCAGCAGGGAAGAAAAUGACAGUACCUGACCAAGAAGCCCCGGCUAACUACGUGCCAGCAGCCGCGGUAAUACGUAGGGGGCGAGCGUUAUCCGGAUUCACUGGGCGUAAAGGGAGCGCAGGCGGCACGGCAAGUCCGGUGUGAAAGCCCGGGGCCCAACCCCGGGACUGCACUGGAAACUGCCGGGCUGGAGUGUCGGAGGGGCAGGCGGAAUUCCUAGUGUAGCGGUGAAAUGCGUAGAUAUUAGGAGGAACACCGGUGGCGAAGGCGGCCUGCUGGACGACGACUGACGCUGAGGCUCGAAAGCGUGGGGAGCAAACAGGAUUAGAUACCCUGGUAGUCCACGCCGUAAACGAUGA